GAAGCUCUUGUAUCUCAUGGUGCUCGAAGAAGGGAAAGAUAGAAGAAUAACAACAAUUUGUUUUACUUCUACUGCAGACGUAAGGGGCAUAUUCGGAAGGAUUGCGAUAAAUUUUAGGCUAAAGGUAAUUUAGCUGCAAAUUUUUGAGCGCAACCUUUGACUUCAGGUGAAACAAACGUAGUUGAGGAUUUUUCAGACGGC
rnacentral:lncRNA from 1 species